GGAGUCUAGCAUGUUCGCAAGUCAUUGGGAACGACUAAACCUAAAGGCGAAAUGAAAGUGAAGCCCGGCCUUGCGCCGGGCGAGGGAGGAUGGGCCGUGUCACGAUACGGCCCCGCACUCCCGGGGCGUCUCGUACUCAUUGCGAGUUGAGGCGCACCCAGAGCGUACACGCUGGGACCCGAAAGAUGGUGAACUAUGCCUGGUCAGGACGAAGUCAGGGGAAACCCUGAUGGAGGUCCGUAGCGAUUCUGACGUGCAAAUCGAUCGUCGGAACUGGGUAUAGGGGCGAAAGACUAAUCGAACCAUCUAGUAGCUGGUUCCCUCCGAAGUUUCCCUCAGGAUAGCUGGCGCUCGUUGAGCGAGUCUCAUCCGGUAAAGCGAAUGAUUAGAGGCAUUGGGGUCAAAACGGCCUCAACCUAUUCUCAAACUUUAAAUGGGUGAGAUCUCCGGCUUGCUCGAACGUGAAGCCGCGAGAUUUUCAUCGGAUCAGAGUGCCAAGUGGGCCAUUUUUGGUAAGCAGAACUGGCGCUGUGGGAUGAACCAAACGCAGAGUUAAAGCGCCAAAAUCGACGCUUAUGGGAUACCAUAAAGGCAAUCGG
rnacentral:rRNA from 1 species